rnacentral:rRNA from 1 species
CAGCAGCCGCGGGAAUACGUAGGGUGCGAGCGUUAAUCGGAAUUACUGGGCGUAAAGCGUGCGCAGGCGGCUUUGCAAGACAGAUGUGAAAUCCCCGGGCUCAACCUGGGAACUGCAUUUGUGACUGCAAGGCUAGAGUGCGGCAGAGGGAGAUGGAAUUCCGCGUGUAGCAGUGAAAUGCGUAGAUAUGCGGAGGAACACCGAUGGCGAAGGCAAUCUCCUGGGCCUGCACUGACGCUCAUGCACGAAAGCGUGGGGAGCAAACAGGAUUAGAUACCCGCGUAGUCCCUGUCUCUUAUAC